rnacentral:rRNA from 1 species
AGUGAACGCUGGCGGUAGGCCUAACACAUGCAAGUCGAACGGCAGCACAGUAAGAGCUUGCUCUUACGGGUGGCGAGUGGCGGACGGGUGAGGAAUACAUCGGAAUCUACUUUUUCGUGGGGGAUAACGUAGGGAAACUUACGCUAAUACCGCAUACGACCUACGGGUGAAAGCAGGGGAUCUUCGGACCUUGCGCGAUUGAAUGAGCCGAUGUCGGAUUAGCUAGUUGGCGGGGUAAAGGCCCACCAAGGCGACGAUCCGUAGCUGGUCUGAGAGGAUGAUCAGCCACACUGGAACUGAGACACGGUCCAGACUCCUACGGGAGGCAGCAGUGGGGAAUAUUGGACAAUGGGCGCAAGCCUGAUCCAGCCAUACCGCGUGGGUGAAGAAGGCCUUCGGGUUGUAAAGCCCUUUUGUUGGGAAAGAAGGGCAGCAGGUUAAUACCCCGCUGUUCUGACGGUACCCAAAGAAUAAGCACCGGCUAACUUCGUG